rnacentral:tRNA from 1 species
GGGGGUGUAGCUCAGUAGGUAGAGCACCGCCCUUUUAAGGCGAUGGCCGAAGGUUCGAAUCCUUCCACCCUCA